rnacentral:rRNA from 1 species
AGUACAGACGAGUUUGAUCCUGGCUCAGGAUGAACGCUAGCGGCAGGCCUAAUACAUGCAAGUCAAGGGGAUAGCAAUAUCACCGGCGGACGGGUGCGUAACGCGUACACAACGUGCCCAAGGGCGGAGGAAAGCGGCGGGAAACUGCCGGUAAUACUCCAUGGUGUUGUUGAGUGGCAUCACUUAACAACUAAAGUACAAGCGCCCUUGGAUCGGUGUGCGUUCGAUUAGCUAGUUGGCGGGGUAACGGCCCACCAAGGCUUCGAUCGAUAGGGGGUGUGAGAGCAUGACCCCCCACACGGGUACUGAGACACGGACCCGACUCCUACGGGAGGCAGCAGUAAGGAAUAUUGGACAAUGGGCGGAAGCCUGAUCCAGCCAUGCCGCGUGAAGGACGAAGGCGCUCAGCGUUGUAAACUUCUUUUGGAUGGGAACAAUAACUCCGACUUGUCGGAACUUGAGGGUACCAUCAGAAUAAGCACCGGCUAACUCCGUG